rnacentral:rRNA from 1 species
GGCGAAGGAUCCAAGCGUUAUCCGGAUUCAUUGGGUUUAAAGGGAGCGUAGGCGGACUUAUAAGUCAGUGGUGAAAGCCGAUAGCUUAACUAUCGAACUGCCAUUGAUACUGUAAGUCUAGAGUACAGAUGAUGUUGGCGGAAUAUGACAUGUAGCGGUGAAAUGCAUAGAUAUGUCAUAGAACACCGAUUGCGAAGGCAGCUGACAAAACUGUAACUGACGCUGAGGCUCGAAAGUGCGGGGAUCAAACAGG